rnacentral:rRNA from 1 species
AGGAAUCUGCCUGGUAGUGGGGGAUAACGUCCGGAAACGGGCGCUAAUACCGCAUACGUCCUGAGGGAGAAAGUGGGGGAUCUUCGGACCUCACGCUAUCAGAUGAGCCUAGGUCGGAUUAGCUAGUUGGUGGGGUAAAGGCCUACCAAGGCGACGAUCCGUAACUGGUCUGAGAGGAUGAUCAGUCACACUGGAACUGAGACACGGUCCAGACUCCUACGGGAGGCAGCAGUGGGGAAUAUUGGACAAUGGGCGAAAGCCUGAUCCAGCCAUGCCGCGUGUGUGAAGAAGGUCUUCGGAUUGUAAAGCACUUUAAGUUGGGAGGAAGGGCAGUAAGUUAAUACCUUGCUGUUUUGACGUUACCAACAGAAUAAGCACCGGCUAACUUCGUGCCAGCAGCCGCGGUAAUACGAAGGGUGCAAGCGUUAAUCGGAAUUACUGGGCGUAAAGCGCGCGUAGGUGGUUCAGCAAGUUGGAUGUGAAAUCCCCGGGCUCAACCUG